AUGAUGGUUUCCAGUCCUCCAUACAGCCUCAGCCUCAGACCAUCCAUGGGCCACACAAACAGGCGACACACUGCCGCUCUGAAGGUGGCUUACUAUGUGGGCGACCACUUCUCAGAAGAAUACACGGGGAUGAAUCUUAAGAAUGUUGAACAAAGUGUGGAGGAGGACUAUAUAUCAAACCUGAGAAACAACUGCUGGAAGGAGAAACAACAAAAGGAAGGCUUGUUGUAUCGGGCACGUUACUUUGGGGACACAGACUUAUUCCAAAGGGCACAGAAAAUGGCAACACCCAGUUGCUCGAAACUUUCAGAAAUACAGGUUCUGUUACAUGGACACUGAGUAGCAGUAUAUAGUGUCCUGUUGAGACGUCAUUUGAAAAUGAUUAUAUACAGAAAUGCUCUGUUCUCUUUGCUAAAAUGGGACGUUGCAUUGCACCAGUUCAAGAGAAGCAAAGAGAGCCCAUCCUGGUGCCACAGGGAUCCACUCUCAUCUCUCCUUCAGAAUCUGCAGAAAAUUUCAAGUCAUGGAAGAUCUUGCCAUCUGUGAAAUGGUUUUAAAUAUGGAUUUAAAUAUGUAAUGAAAUAAAACAAAGCAUUGGAUGAUUAGCUGGUAGAGAGGAAAGUACACCGCUGUUAAAUGGUAAUCAAUGCUGCUAGCUCACUGCUUUUAUUUUAUU